GUACACGCUGUGACUAGCAUAUCAAUAAGCGGAGGAAAAGAAACUAACAAGGAUUCCCCUAGUAACGGCGAGUGAAGCGGGAAGAGCUCAAAUUUGAAAUCUUAAAGGGUUUCCCUUUACGAAUUGUAGUUUAAAGAAGUGUUUUCUGUUGAGGUUUUGGUAAAAGUUCUUUGGAAUAGGACAUCAUAGAGGGUGAGAAUCCCGUAUUUGACCUUUACUUUCAACUUUGUGAUACACUUUCAAAGAGUCGGAUUGUUUGGGAAUGCAGUCCAAAAUGGGUGGUAAAUUUCAUCUAAAGCUAAAUAUUGGCGAGAGACCGAUAGCGAACAAGUACCGUGAGGGAAAGAUGAAAAGAACUUUGAAAAGAGAGUUAAACAGUACGUGAAAUUGUCAAAAGGGAAGCGUUUGACACCAGUGUUGUUUUUCUGAAAAUCAAUUAAAGAACUGUUUAUGCUAAGCUGUUUAGACUUUAUCCAGCUAUCUGUUUAGUUUUGAGCUUUUCUUUAAUGCACUUUUCAGUUAACAAGUCAACAUCAAUUUCUUUUGCUGUAAAAAAGCUUGAGGAAGGUGGCUUGAGAUUCGUCUUAAGUGUUUAUAGCCUCUUGCCUAUGCAGUCGGAGAGAUUGAGGUCUGCAGCGUAGAUCCUUCGGGGCUAAAUGCAUUUGUGCUAAGUUAUAGCAUUUUAUAGACAACUUGUUGACUAUGAUUUGUCUUGUAGCUUACUCGCUUAUGUUAUUUUACCUACGCUUAGGAUGUUGACGAGACUGUCGAUCUCAUCUAUACAUGACUCUGUGCAUAUCAAUAAGCGGAGGAAAAGCUAUACCUACGCUUAGGAUGUUGACGAGACUGUCGAUCUCAUCUAUACAUGACUCUGUGCAUAUCAAUAAGCGGAGGAAAAGUCAAUACCUACGCUUAGGAUGUUGACGAGACUGUAGAUCUCAUCUAUACAUGACUCUGUGCAUAUCAAUAAGCGGAGGAAAAGGGAAUCGGUCGCCCCAGUACCUACGCUUAGGAUGUUGACGCAUGAGAUAUACGC
rnacentral:rRNA from 1 species